rnacentral:lncRNA from 10 species
UCUUCCCCUGCUCUCGCUCUCUCUCGCUGUCUCUCUCUCUCCCUCCCUCCCUCUUUCACCUGCCUCUCUCUCUCCCCCUCUCCCCGUCUCCCCUUCUCCUCCUCUCCCUUUCUCCCUCUCUCCUGACACCAUGUAAGACAUGCCUUGCUUCGCCUUCACCUUCUGCCAUGAUUCUAAGUUUCCUGAGACCUCCCCAGCCACGCAGAACGCUCUGCGAAGGCACGCGCUGAAAAUCACACAGCUGGAAAUGGUGAAUCCAAGCUGCCCAGUACCAGAGGGCGGGCACUUAACCCUCCACACACCCCAGUCUUUCCAGUAGAAACUACCUCAACAGGCUGUGGUAGGAGUUAGACGAGAUGACACAUAUGAAUCACUUGGACACCAUGUUCAGCAAGUGGGACCUCCUGACAGCAUAAGAAGUUCAGAGCUCAAAGACUUUAACCUGUCCAAACUUCAGCACUAAGGGAGACCGAUUAUGCUGUAUGACCUUGGGAAAAUCACCUCACUUCUGGGCCUCAGUUUCCACGCAUGUAAAAUGGGGAUAAAGAAACAACCCAGCUCCUGGGAUUGAUAUGAAGACUGCAUGAGAUGAUACGCAGGACACCCGUGGCACAAUGCAGGGCUUGCAGUAAGAGCUCAAUAAAUACCACCUGCUAUUUGUCUAUAAGUGUGUUUAGCAACAUCUUUGAAUGGAAUCAUAUUGUGCAUUACUUUUUGUAACUUUUUUUCACUCAUUUAGUGUGAUCAUUAAAUAUCCUUCGAG